rnacentral:lncRNA from 10 species
UGGAAGUCUGUUUGGUCCUAUUUCUGUCUCUGGUACAAGAGACAGAAGCUGAACCCCAUGCAUUGCCUAUGCCCGACUUAGAAAAGGUGGCCCUUCCUCCAGGACAACACCCAUGUCUGGAAGAGCAACACAGCUGGCUUCCAACUCAACUUGAUCCCCACACCAGGAACCCCUUCUGAAUGAUCCCUGAGCACCCCUUGAUGGAAAUCCUGAAGAUGG